GCGUAGCCUGAGCCAAGUAGACUCCUGGGUUGCUAAGAUACCUCUGAAUCUUGCCUGCCUCAAGAAGAUCAGAUAAACAUCUACAAAGAGACUCAGUCUGGAAUUGAACUAUGGGAAACAGAUGCCUUCUAGAAUAUCCAGAUCACAAUGAAGAAGAUAGGCCAGGAAGCUGUGGUCUGGGCACAGCUCUCCCCAGACACAAUGAAGAACCUUGGCAGAUAGGGAGACUUGACAGGCUUCCCUGCCUUCCCUUUACUAACAGGAACGGGGGCUGUGAACUAGACCCCGGGGUUCCAUCUAGUUCAGACAGUCUAGGAAGUGCCAAGGUUGAAAUGUAAGUCACUGCAGCUGACAUCUGGUAGGAAGCAGAAAGAACACCCCUGUCCAGGAGAUGGUAAUCCGAGAAAAGACAGGGAAUCUUCCGAUCACGUGACACUAAAGGAAACAAGGGGGCGUGGCUCGGGACACAAGUGAGCCUGAGGACUAGGGCAGCUCUGUCGCCAGUUUUUCCUUUUACCUAAAAGCUGCCACUCAGAUUGUGAAGCAGAACGUGGCAGGGGUGUUUCCUCCAGCGCUAUGUGAAAGAGCCAAGUAGGGGAUUUCUGUGCUUCUUUGACUCACCUCAGAACGAAUCUCCUUCUACGCCGUCAACCUUUCUAUUUUGUGAGGGAGUCAGUCCCCUGAUUAAAAGUUCUGAGGCA